rnacentral:lncRNA from 1 species
UGUUGGAAGCGUGCAUGAUUUAUUCUGAUAUUAAUUAUUAAAAUUGAAAUUAAUUUACGUUGAUACCAAUUAUAUAAUUCAGGAUCUAAAAUUUUAACAUAGAAUAAUAUAGAAAAGAUAUAUUGAAGGAGGAAGAAGAUAUAUAGCUAAACUAAUUACUUUAAAAAGUAUCUAAUUACACCCUUGAUGAUACCCUCCAAGCUUAUGCAGCCAUGUCUACUGUGGGCCAGUGGUUUGAGCUCAACGAGUUAUUAUUACUAGCGGGUUGGGUCGUUAUAUUUAAUAACAGAGCCUGAUAACCCGCCGGAAGUAUGAGAUAGAUCUUACAUCGCCUAGUGAAUCCAGGGCUAUGUGUGUGAUUGGGUCGGGCUGACGAGGACGUUAGAGCCUAAACCAGGAGAGUAUGUGAUAUUCCAAUAGUUCCACAUUGCAUAAUGUAGGAGAGUGUGAUGAAUUUAUAAGUGACAGGUAUACUAAUAAUAAUAAUUGGACUUAAGCAUUUUCAGUCGGUGGUUUGAGUUCAAUGAGUUAUUAUUGUUAACAUGUCGGGUCGUUACAACUGGUACUUAAAAAAAAAAAAGCUCAAUGCACCUGCUUUGUUAUUGUCCACCGUAAAGUAUAUACGGGUGUGCAUACACUCCAAUCGAAUAAGACACCCAAUUGUCAAAAUUUAGCAUUCGAUAUAUAUUCGUAUUUGAAUUCGUAUUUGAAAAAAUGUAGGGGCAUAAAGUAAUUUUCUAUUGUGCUAUUUGUUUAUUUUAGUAUGAAUUUUAUUUAAAAUUGCAUUUAUAUUUAUGAAAAUAUUAAUUUUAUUGAAUGAAAUAUAGGUAUACAAAUUUUGAA